GACGAACGCUGGCGGCGUGCUUAACACAUGCAAGUCGAACGAUGAAGCCUUCGGGUGGAUUAGUGGCGAACGGGUGAGUAACACGUGGGUGAUCUGCCCUGCACUUUGGGAUAAGCCUGGGAAACUGGGUCUAAUACCGAAUAUGAUCACGGACUUCAUGGUUUGUGGUGGAAAGCUUUUGCGGUGUGGGAUGGGCCCGCGGCCUAUCAGCUUGUUGGUGGGGUAAUGGCCUACCAAGGCGACGACGGGUAGCCGGCCUGAGAGGGUGACCGGCCACACUGGGACUGAGAUACGGCCCAGACUCCUACGGGAGGCAGCAGUGGGGAAUAUUGCACAAUGGGCGCAAGCCUGAUGCAGCGACGCCGCGUGAGGGAUGACGGCCUUCGGGUUGUAAACCUCUUUCAGCAGGGACGAAGCGCAAGUGACGGUACCUGCAGAAGAAGGACCGGCCAACUACGUGCCAGCAGCCGCCGUAAGAC
rnacentral:rRNA from 1 species